UACGUAGGGUGCGAGCGUUAAUCGGAAUUACUGGGCGUAAAGCGUGCGCAGGCGGUCUUUUAAGUCAGAUGUGAAAUCCCCGGGCUUAACUUGGGAACUGCGUUUGAAACUGGAAGGCUAGAGUGUGGCAGAGGGGGGUGGAAUUCCACGUGUAGCAGUGAAAUGCGUAGAUAUGUGGAGGAACACCGAUGGCGAAGGCAGCCCCCUGGGCUAACACUGACGCUCAUGCACGAAAGCGUGGGGAGCAAACAGG
rnacentral:rRNA from 1 species